ACCAUCUACUCCAAGUUUGCAAUUAAGGUGACAGUUACAUUCUACAAACCUGAAAGAUGUCUUCUUCCACUACUUGCUGAUCCUGUCUUUUUCUUUUCUUAUUGAAACCCACUCUCACCAAACCCACCUUCCAUCUUCUCCACAACCCAAUUCUUGUCCAUAAAUUUCGAAACUUGUCUCUCUGGGUUCUAUCUAGAGAGAGAGAGAGAAAAUGGCUGGUAGAGAUCUAGAGAGAGAAGGGGCAAACAAGAGCUAUUCUUCUUCUGUUCCUCCUCCUCCUCCUUCGCGUGUUUAUGAUCCAGAAACUAGCUGGACAUCAUGGCUUGUUCCUAUGUUUGUUGUCGCUAAUCUUGUUAUUUUCAUUCUAGCCAUGUAUAUUAAUGAUUGUCCUCGUAAACCUCAUGCGGUUGAAGGUGAUUGUGUCUUUAAGUUCCUUGGUAGAUUCUCUUUUCAGCCUACCAGAGAGAAUCCUUUGUUUGGUCCUUCUUCUUUAACAUUAACGAAGAUGGGAGCUCUUAAGUGGGAUGCUGUUGUGAAUCAGCACCAAGGAUGGAGACUUAUCACAUGCAUAUGGUUACAUGCUGGAAUUAUUCAUUUGGCAGCAAACAUGUUAAGUCUAGUCUUCAUUGGCAUUCGCCUUGAACAACAAUUUGGGUUUGUGAGGAUAGGAAUCAUUUACCUUAUAUCUGGAUUCGGUGGGAGUAUCCUAUCUUCUCUAUUCAUUAGAAACAACAUCUCCGUUGGUGCUUCUGGCGCUCUUUUUGGACUUCUUGGAGCAAUGCUUUCAGAACUUAUCACAAACUGGACUAUUUAUACCAAUAAAGUAGCUGCUUUGGUCACACUUUUGUUUAUUGUUGUCAUCAAUCUUGCGAUUGGAAUGUUGCCACAUGUCGACAAUUUUGCUCAUAUUGGGGGAUUCUUGACAGGAUUUCUCCUUGGUUUUGUUUUCCUUCCCCGUCCUCAAUUUGGGUGGUUAGCACAGAGACAUGUUCCUCCCGGUGCUCGUCUCAAGUCCAAAUACAAGUAUUAGAGUUUGACCUAACUCAUCCUUACAAAACCGGUUGGUAAGGUGAGGAGUGUCCCUCUAUAUAUAUUCUUUGAAAGCUCUAUCUCUAGCCAAUGUGGGACUUUAGGAUCUUCCUAAUACACCCCCUCACGCCCAGCACUCUUUUGGGCUUGGUGCGUGGAUAUUAAUGGUGGGCGGCCCAUGGUCCGAUCGAUAGGCUCUGAUACCAUAUUAGAGUUUGACCUAACUCAUCCUUACAAAACCGGUUGGUAAGGUUAUUCAUUGGUUUACUAAUGCUAUUGCGGGGCGAAAACGGAUACGAUCACUGCCAUUGGUGUCACUACCUAACAUGCGUUCCAACUUCAAAAUGGAAAUGCAGUGACGGUUAAACUUUUCUUGUUCUUUUAUGUAUAGCUAUGACUUUUACAGAUUAUUUUUUUGGUUAAUUCCUUAUAAGAAUCAGCUAUUAGUUUGUGUUUGGAUUUAUGUGGGCAUAUAAACAUACAUAUAUAAAGGAAUUUAUUUGUACAUGAAGUUUCUAUUUCAAUAAUAUAUAUUCUAGCUGA